CGAAGAAUAUGACGGUAAUAUACGAAUAAGGGUCGGCUAACUACGUGCCAGCAGCCGCGGUCAUACGUAGGACCCAAGCGUUAUCCGGAGUGACUGGGCGUAAAGAGUUGCGUAGGCGGUCUUUUAAGCGAGUGGUGGAAUCUGGUGGCUCAACCAUACAGACUAUUACUCGAACUGGGAGACUUGAGAAUGGUAGAGGUAGUUGGAAUUUCUUGUGUAGGAGUGAAAUCCGUAGAUAUAAGAAGGAACACCAAUGGCGUAGGCAGACUACUGGACCAUUUCUGACGCUGAGGCACGAAAGCGUGGGGAGCGAACCGGAUUAGAUACCCGGGUAGUCCACGCCGUAAACGAUGGAUGCUAGCUGUGGGGGGUAUCGACCCCCUCCGUAGCGAAGCUAACGCGUUAAGCAUCCCGCCUGUGGAGUACGGCCGCAAGGCUAAAACAUAAAGGAAUUGACGGGGACCCGCACAAGCGGUGGAGCGUGUUCUUUAAUUCGAUGAUAAACGAAGAACCUUACCAAGGCUUGACAUCCCGAGAAUUACUCCGAAAGGAGUGAGUGCUUUAUUGAACUCGGUGACAGAUCUUGCAUGGCCGUCGUCAGCUCGUGUCGUGAGAUGUUUGGUUAAGUCCAUCAACGAGCGCAACCCUUAUGAAUAGUUGGAUUUUUCUAUUCAGACUGCCCCGGUAACGGGGAGGAAGGGGGGGAUGAUGUCAGGUCAGUAUUAGUCUUACGUCUUGGGCUAGAAACGCGCUACAAUGGCCGGUACAACGGGCAGCUAACCCGCAAGGGGGAGCAAAUCCUAUCAAAGCCGGUCCCAGUUCGGAUUGGAGGCUGAAACUCGCCUCCAUGAAGUCGGAAUCGCUAGUAAUCGCAGAUCAGCAUGUUGCGGUGAAUACGUUCCCGGGUCUUGUACACACCGCCCGU
rnacentral:rRNA from 1 species